rnacentral:hammerhead_ribozyme from 1 species
GUCCUGCCGAUGAGACCCAACUAGGUCGAAACAGUUGUCCAGUGC